ensembl:lncRNA
CGGGGAUGGGCGAGAGAGAAGGUCUCCACUCCCCCUCUCCUCCCACUCUCCAUCUCCUGCUGGGGCCUCCAUUGGCUGAACCCAGGAAUAAGUGAGCAAGGAGGCCCAAAAUGUGCAGUCCAAGGAUUUCAGCUUCUGACGGCACAGAGAAAGACAAGAGAGAGGCAUGGAUGGGGGUACAGUGGAGAUUAAUCAGCAAAGAGGAGUUGUGCCCGAGGGACUGACCCACAGAACCUUGUCUGGCCCUUCCCAUGGUGCAAGCUGUCCCUAGAGAAACUGCUUGGAAGGGCAGGGAACAGAUGCAAAAAGUUGUGGGGCUGUGCCAGGAGGAUGGGAGAACAGAAGGAAUCAUUACCAGAUGAUCCCUUGGAGACCAUGGAAGCUCUAUAGCAAAGAAACGAGAAGAUGAAACCAGAAAUGAAGGUGGAAGCCCGAAAGGCAGCCAGUGGCUAUAAUGUGGAAGAACAGAGAACAUGCAGCUGUUCAAGAAAACCACGCUCCCAUCCAGAAGGAGACAGAGCUGGACUCAGACAACAAGAGCUGAGGGGGAGCUAUGGAUUCACAGGGGAAGAGCAGGAAUUCACGGACCUCUUACCCAUCGCCAGCGCUGCCCAUCCCGGACAUGCCUGGGUUUCUCACGCAGCCUCCACACAGGCUGGACUGACGUGUCUCGCAGGCUCAUGACGUUUCUGCCAAAAGAAAGCUCUGCUUCUUCUCCAAAGACACUCACUCCAACAGAGGCUUUUCUUUUCUUUUCUUUUUAACACGGCGUGGAAUGGUCUGGAGCAGUGGUCACAGUAGAGACAUUUGUCAUGGCAGGGAAGGGUGCUGAUCAGGUGCAUGGGCAGACUGAGGCUCGGAGGCCUUCCAUGGCGCCUCUGAGAAGCGGUGCAGAUGCACUGGGGAGAGGCCGGCCUGGGCACCUGCCAGGAGCUGACAGGAACUUGAGUAGAAAUGAGGUCAGGAACCAGCCAGAAAGGGCAGCCAUUGCUGGUCCAAACGCUGCUGAAAAUUCACUCAGAGGGAAAAAAAGAAAUGAUCCCUUCCCUUCUUCAUGGGCAAAUCAUUGAAAAAUGAGAAGAGCUGCUCCUCACCCAGCAUGACUUCCGGAGAUGGAUGGUAUUUCAUGGAGUCAACCAGACAGGAAAUGAAUCAGAGUUUGAAAUAACACUAGCUACGAAAGAUCUUUCUUAAUUCUCUCCAGACUCGAGAACAAGGACUGUGUCAGUGUCUAGGAGAUGUAAGUUCUCUCUCGUGCACUGAGGAAUAAUGCCGAGGUCAACAGCCUGUCAGAGAGGUCUUGGAAUUGGGUGUUUUAGAAGCAUUGGAGCUCACACUUCAAUAUAAACCAUAACCACCUAUUUCUCUUUGCCAGAAAGACCCAGGGUUACAGAAACUAAGAGCUUUGCUUGGAAUGCCCUUUCUCAAAUGGAUGCUGGCACCACUGUCUGACCGUUUCUCCUAAUGAAAGAAUGAGAAGUCACAUCGCUUCAUGUGGGCUUCUUCCCCACAGCAGAUGGAGGGGCUUUCCCUACAGGACUGGACCUGCUCCAGCCAGCAGGCUGAGCAGGCGCUCAUGUGUCCAUCCAGGGGCAGGAGGGCUGGGGCAUGGAAGGGAACCACCAAAGGAAAAAGCCCCCACACAGGCCACCAGCAGAGUCCCCAUGAUCCCUGCAACCAUUUACAGUAUUUCUAAGGGCAGAGUGAGCCUGAGGUGUCAUCAGGUAGAGGGAACAUGCAAUAACAAUGGGAUUUGUUGCACAAAGAACAAAAGAGUAGAAGGUGGAGCCAAAGGGGCAGAGAGAAAGAGAAUAUGAGAAGAGAUGAGGGGCCAGAGGAUCUGUCGUGGUGGCAAGUCACUCGAGGCCUGCCCGCGCUCUGCAGGGGGCGGCACAGAGGCCAUGGAACAGAAGGGCUUGCAGACUAAACUAAGUUUCUCAAAUCAUACUUGUAUUGAACCAAUUUGAAAGACAGAGAGAACCCAGGGGAAGAGAUGGGGGAGGGUGGCACACUUAGGAUCGGGGCAACAGGUUGGGAGGACCACCCUCCCAAAUCUGGUUUUCUCCAGUGCCUCAGCCUUCCCUGCUGACAGCGUGGUUGUGAGGACCAGAGUCGAAGGUGGGCAAGAGGACUCGGCAGAUGGAAGGUGCCUGGAGUGAAUACACUUCCCUCCGUCAGAGCGAUGCUGGGUAAGUAUGCUGGGCUGGCCUCAGCUGAAGCUCACCAAUAACUGCUGAGCAGUCUACACUGCGCGUCUCGAGUAACUAAGGGGUGGCAGUAUCAGUCUGCUCUGGCUGCCAUAACAAAAUGCCACAGGCUGGACGGCUUAAACAACAGGAAUUCAUUUUCUCACAGUUCUGGAGACUGGACGUCCAAGAUCGAGGUGUCAGCAGGGUUGGUUCCUUCUCCAGGCUAUAAGGGAAGGAGCUGUUCCAGGCCAGAAUCAUAAUAGCAUUGUUUUUUAGAAAAAAGAAUGAUCAGAAAAUAAGAAAUAACUCUUGGAAACUACAAAUAUAAUAGUAGAAAUGAAAAGCUUGCAAGAAGACUUGAAAGAUCAAGUGAAGAAACAUUUCAAAAAGAAUAAAAGACAAGGAUAUUAAAAAUAGAGAAUAAGAAGCAGACUAGAGCGUGUAGUUAACUGCAAAAACCGUCGCAGCUCUCCAGCCCUCCCUGUAUCCGUGCUGUCUCAGUCAGCUCGGGCUCCACAAGAACAAUACCACAGGCUCGGGGGCUCAGACAACAAGCAUUAAUUCCUCACAGUUCUGGAGGGUGGAAGUCCAAGAGCAAGUUGCCCGCAGAUCUGGUGUCUGGUGAGGACCCACUUCCUGUGGUGUACAGAUGGCCGUCUUCUCAUAGUAUCCUCACGUGGCGGAGAGAGAGCUGAAUCAAGAUUUCUCAAGUCUCUUUAUAAUGACAUUAGUGCCAUCAUGAGAGCUCCACCCUCAUGACUUAACCACCUCCCAAAGUUCCCGUUUCUAAACACUGUCACUUUGGGGAUUAGCGUUUCAACACAUGAAUUUUUAGAAGGACACAAACAUUCAGUCUGUAGUACGUGUCCUUUGCAAUGUGACUUCACAGUUUCUACUGCAAAAGGUGGAGUGUCUUCCCCCCUCCCCUUGAAUCUGGGCUGACCUUGUAAUUUGCUUCAGCCAAUAGAAUGUGGCAGAAGUGACAUACAAGUUCUGAGCCAAGGCCUCGAGACCUUGCAUGUCCCUGCUUGUUUUCUUGAAAUCCUACUUAUUUGCCAUGUGAACAGACCCAGACUAGCCUGCUGGAAGAUGAGAGAGCAUGUGGAGGGAGAUGAGCUAUCCUGAGACCAUCUUAUACCAGCCAACUACCAGCAAGCCCGAUGGCUGACCACCGAUGUGUGAAUGAGCCACCAAGACUAGCAGGACUGCCCAGCUAAGCCCAAACCAAACUGAUGACCUCAAGAAUCUUCAGCUAAAUCAAUGGUGGUUGUUUCAAGCCACCAGACUGGGGGUAGUUUGUUACACAACAACAGCUAAUGGACAUAGAGCAUCGAUCCAGGAAGUCUAAAACCUCAAUAAUUAAAGUGUCAAGAAGGAAGAACAAAGGAGAAAAAGAGAAGGAAAUUGCCAAAACCAUAGUACAAGAAAAUUUCCCAGACUUACAUGAUGAGUUUCCAGAUUAAAAGGGUCCACUAAAUUUCCACAGUAAUAAAUGAAAAAAAUUCUACACUUGGGCCAUCAUUGUGAAAUGUCAGAAUACUAGAGAAAAAGAGAAGUUCCUAUAAACUUCCGGAAAUGAAAAAAAAAAUGGUCAUAUAAAAAGAACCUGGAAUAAAAAUGGCAUUAGAUUUCUCAGUGGCAAUGCUGAAAGCUAGAAGACAAUGGAGAAAACGCCUUCAAGAUUCUGAGGGGACAAUUCCCACCGAUAAGUCCAUACACAAAGUGUCAACCAAGUGUGAGGGUAUAGUAAAGACAUCUGCAGAUAUUCAAGGUCCCCAAAACGUACUGCCAUGCUUUCUCUCUCGGGAAGCUAUUGGAAGAUGUGGCUCAUCCAAAUGAGUAAGUCUACACCUGUACUUACUUAGGGGUUAAGUAUACUUGGGUGAGUAUACUUACACUUACCCCAAAGAACAAAAAACAUAUGUCCAUGCACAAACUGGCACAUGAAUUUCUUAGCAGCAUCAUUCAUAAUAGCCAAAAAGAGGAAAAACCCAAACGCCUACGAACUGAUGAAUGGAUGCACAAAAUGUGGUACAUGUAUACAAUGGAAUAUUAUUCAGUCAUGUGAAGGAAUGAAGGACUGACACAUGCUACAACAUGGAUGAACCUCGAAAACAUUAUGCUAAGUGAAAGAAACCAGAUACAAAAGGCCACAUGUUAUAUGUUCUAUUUAUUUGAAAUGUCCAGAAUGAGCAAAUCCAUAGAGACAGGAAGUAGAUUAGUGGUUUCCAAGAUGUGAAGGAGGGAGCAGUGAGGAGUGCCUGCUAAUGGGUAUGGGGUUUCUUUUUGGGGUGACUGAAAUGUUCUGGAAUUACAUAGUGG